UACGAAGGGGGCUAGCGUUGCUCGGAAUGACUGGGCGUAAAGGGCGCGUAGGCGGACGGCUUUGUCGGGCGUGAAAUUCCAGGGCUCAACCUUGGGGCUGCGUUCGAGACGGGUUGUCUAGAGUUUGGGAGAGGGUCGUGGAAUUCCCAGUGUAGAGGUGAAAUUCGUAGAUAUUGGGGAGAACACCAGUGGCGAAGGCGGCUUCCUGGUCUGCAACUGACGCUGUGGCGCGAAAGCUAGGGGAGCAAACGGG
rnacentral:rRNA from 1 species